AAAUUGAAGAGUUUGAUCAUGGCUCAGAUUGAACGCUGGCGGCAGGCCUAACACAUGCAAGUCGAACGGUAGCACAGAGAGCUUGCUCUCGGGUGACGAGUGGCGGACGGGUGAGUAAUGUCUGGGAAACUGCCUGAUGGAGGGGGAUAACUACUGGAAACGGUGGCUAAUACCGCAUAACGUCGCAAGACCAAAGAGGGGGACCUUCGGGCCUCUUGCCAUCAGAUGUGCCCAGAUGGGAUUAGCUUGUUGGUGAGGUAACGGCUCACCAAGGCGACGAUCCCUAGCUGGUCUGAGAGGAUGACCAGCCACACUGGAACUGAGACACGGUCCAGACUCCUACG
rnacentral:rRNA from 2 species